AUGUACAAGUAGUACAUUCCGGUUCCUGCGCUCCGGACGCGCCCAACCUGACUGCGCUCGCGACAUUUUUAAGACA
rnacentral:sRNA from 1 species